rnacentral:rRNA from 1 species
UACGUAGGGCGCAAGCGUUGUCCGGAAUUAUUGGGCGUAAAGAGCUCGUAGGCGGCUUGUCACGUCGAUUGUGAAAGCCCGAGGCUUAACCUCGGGUCUGCAGUCGAUACGGGCUAGCUAGAGUGUGGUAGGGGAGAUCGGAAUUCCUGGUGUAGCGGUGAAAUGCGCAGAUAUCAGGAGGAACACCCGUGGCGAAAGCGGCUCACUGGGUCUCUUCUGACGCUGAGGCACGAAAGCUAGGGUAGCGAACGGG